rnacentral:rRNA from 1 species
UCAGACGGWRGGGGWUAAGCUCYRUYGUCGAGAGGGAAACAGCCCAGACCRCCAGCUAAGGUCCCCAAAUGACUGCUAAGUGAUAAAGGAGGUGAGAGUGCACUGACAACCAGGAGGUUUGCCUAGAAGCAGCCACCCUUGAAAGAGUGCGUAAUAGCUCACUGGUCAAGCGCUCUUGCGCCGAAAAUGAACGGGGCUAAGCAGUCUACCGAAGCUGUGGAAUAUGAAUAAUAUUGGUAGGGGAGCGUUCCGCGACGGUGUGAAGCACUAGCGACAAGCAGGUGUGGACUGUGCGGAAGUGAGAAUGUCGGCUUGAGUAGCGCAAAUGUAGGUGAGAAUCCUACACCCCGAAACCCUAAGGGUUCCAGAGCCAGGCUCGUCCGCUCUGGGUGAGUCAGGUCCUAAGGCGAGGCCAAACGGCGUAGUCGAUGGAUAACGGGUUAAUAUUCCCGUACCGAUAAUUGUUGGUGCAGAGGGACGGAGAAGGCAAUCGCCAGCCGGAUGUUGGUUACCGGUUUAAGUAUUCGAGGUGUUGAGAGACGGUGAAAACGUCUUG